GAGGGUAUAGCUCAACGGUAGAGUUUUUGCUUUACAAGCAAAGUGUUAAAGGUUCAAAUCCUUUUACCCUC
rnacentral:tRNA from 1 species